rnacentral:rRNA from 1 species
GACGAACGCUGGCGGCGUGCCUAAUACAUGCAAGUCGAACGCAGGGGGACCGGGCGAGUAACACGUGGGUAACCUCCCAUCAGAGGGGAUAACACUUGGAAACAGGUGCUAAACCGAUAUUGAUGUAUGGACCCGCGGUGCCUUAGCUAGUUGGUGAGGUCACGGCUCACCAAGGCCACGAUGCAUAGCCGACCUGAGAGGUUGAUCGGCAACACUGGGACGGAGACACGGCCGAGACUCCUACGGGAGGCAGCAGUAGGGAAUCUUCGGCAAUGGACGAAAGUCUGACCGAGCAACGCCGCGUGAGUGAAGAAGGUUUUCGGAUCGUAAAACUCUGUUGUUAGAGAAGCGGUAUCUAACCAGAAAGCCACGGCUAACUACGUGCCAGCAGCCGCGGUAAUAC